rnacentral:lncRNA from 1 species
GUGCAGAACCCACAGGUGUGGAUUUACUGGAGGGCUCACAGAAGGUGAUUCCAGCAGAUGCCAGCUGUGACCCUCCUGCUACUGUAAGGCUGUACAGCCAAGAAGUGCUGAGUCAGGAGGAAGUGAAAAUUAACUCCAGGUUGUCUGGACAUCCAAAAGCCCUGAGGAUUUCAGGAGUACCAAAGGCUGAGGAUGUUUCUAGACUAAACAACUCCAGCAAUUGCAUCAAAUGAGAAAAGUAGUUUUCCUCCUUCAGAGUAACAGCUGCACGACAGAGAAGUCCAAAGAAGCAAAAUGGGAUCAGAUGUGAAAAGUUUGGGUGUAACCCAUUGUAUUGCUCAUCUCUGACAGCCUCAAGACCCUGUGCCUACCUUCAGCCUGUAGAGAGACCCAGGCAUUCCCUUGAGGCACAAAAAGCCACAGUGCUCCAUGAACAUGGCAUAUCCAAAGAGGAGGAAAGAAGAGUUCCUACCAGAGUCUGUGUUGCUGAAGUUCCUCCAGGCUGUCUUCCUGCUGUCCCCAGCCCCAAGCCAACUUACUGCAGCCAUCCUGCACAAGGCAGCACUGCAAGGUGCUACAGGCUCAGGCCCAGAGAAUACGUAGCUACUCUGACUCAAAAUGAUGUGUGCAGGGAGCAACUAAGCAGGGCUGAUCUCCUGGUACCAGUCUGGAGACAGAUUGCCCAGAGCUUCUCUGCACUGCUGCACUGUGCACACCACCAACUCAUUUUUUGCACUGAACUGAGAAAACUCAGCUCAGGCCUAAGCUGGGAUUUACAAAGCCCCACAGGUUGAUUCCUAAGGAAACCAGCAAGAGCUGUCUUAUACCCCUCUGUUUUACAUUGCUUCUGGUAUUUAUGAGAAUAAGAGAUUGGAAAAAGCACUUGAUCUCUAAUUUUAAAUUUCAGAGAAUUUUCCCGUGAAUAGCUCUCCUUUCUCUUGUUGCAGUGCUGUGCAAGACAAACACAAAAGAGGGCACUAAUGCAGUCCCCAAGUAUUCAUAACAAAGAUCCCUUCUCCACGGUUCACACAAACCUCUUGACACAGCAA